rnacentral:rRNA from 1 species
CAGCACCUCAAGUGGUCAGGAUGAUUAUUGGGCCUAAAGCAUCCGUAGCCGGCGCUGUAAGUUUUCGGUUAAAUCUGUACGCUCAACGUACAGGCUGCCGGGAAUACUGCAGCGCUAGGGAGUGGGAGAGGUAGACGGUACUCGGUAGGAAGGGGUAAAAUCCUUUGAUCUAUUGAUGACCACCUGUGGCGAAGGCGGUCUACCAGAACACGUCCGACGGUGAGGGAUGAAAGCUGGGGGUGCAAACCGGAUUAGAUACCCGCGUAGUCC